GGCCAUGGCCGGUGGCCACACUGGCAAGUCGAACCGGGGACCACAGCGGAAGCUAACGGACGGAAGGGUCAUACUUACGUGGCGGACGGGUGAGUAACGCGUGGGCAACCUGCCCCGUGCCGGGGGAUACCGCCUGGAAACAGGCGCUAAUACCGCAUAAGCGCAUACAGCCGCAUGGGUGUAUGCGGAAAGCUCCGGCGGCACGGGAUGGCCCGCGCCCGAUUAGCCAGUUGGCGGGGUAACGGCCCACCAAAGCGACGAUCGGUAGCCGGCCUGAGAGGGCGGACGGCCACAUUGGGACUGAGACACGGCCCAAACUCCUACGGGAGGCAGCAGUGGGGAAUAUUGCACAAUGGGGGAAACCCUGAUGCAGCAACGCCGCGUGGGUGAAGGAGCGUUUCGGCGCGUAAAGCCCUGUCAGCGGGGAAGAAGAAAGACGGUACCCGACCAAGAAGCCCCGGCUAACUACGUGCCAGCAGCCGCGGUAAUACGUAGGGGGCGAGCGUUAUCCGGAAUUACUGGGUGUAAAGGGAGCGUAGACGGCGAGGUAAGCCUGAAGUGGAAGCCCGCGGCCCAACCGCGGAACUGCUUUGGGAACUGUUUUGCUGGAGUAUGGGAGGGGUAAGCGGAAUUCCUGGUGUANCGGUGAAAUGCGUAGAUAUCAGGAGGAACACCGGUGGCGAAGGCGGCUUACUGGACCAUAACUGACGUUGAGGCUCGAAAGCGUGGGGAGCGAACAGGAUUAGAUACCCUGGUAGUCCACGCCGUAAACGAUGAUUACCAGGUGUCGGGUGUCGAAG
rnacentral:rRNA from 1 species